rnacentral:rRNA from 1 species
CCUACGGGUUGCAGCAGUGGGGAAUAUUGCACAAUGGGCGCAAGCCUGAUGCAGCCAUGCCGCGUGUAUGAAGAAGGCCUUCGGGUUGUAAAGUACUUUCAGCGGGGAGGAAGGUAGUGUAGUUAACACCUGCACUAUUUGACGUUACCUACAGAAGAAGCACCGGCUAACUCCGUGCCAGCAGCCGCGGUAAUACGGAGGGUGCGAGCGUUAAUCGGAAUUACUGGGCGUAAAGCGCAUGCAGGCGGCCUGUUAAGUCAGAUGUGAAAGCCCGGGGCUUAACCUCGGAAUUGCAUUUGAAACUGGCAGGCUAGAGUCUUGUAGAGGGGGGUAGAAUUACAGGUGUAGCGGUGAAAUGCGUAGAGAUCUGAAGGAAUACCAGUGGCGAAGGCGGCCCCCUGGACAAAGACUGACGCUCAGAUGCGAAAGCGUGGGGAGCAAACAGGAUUAGAUACCCGGGUAGUC